rnacentral:lncRNA from 1 species
CGUUGCAAUUGGCUUCAUUUGGCCAGGCCAAGGUGAUCAGAAGGUCCUGACUUCCUUGCCCAGAAGCCUUAGGACUGGGAUGGAUGUUGGCAAGGCCUGGGGAUUCUAAUGCUAAGAUUUAAACUGGAAGCAGAGCUGAGUUCAGGGAGCUAACAGGAAGUAGAAAAACAGGUGUGGGAAUCCAUUUCCCAGAAUCCUCUGGGUGAAUGAUUUUAAAAAAUGGGCAGGGGGCUUUAAGUUCAAGAAUGCCUUUCUUUCCCUUUUUCUGGCUUAUACUCUGCCUGCCUUGCUGUGGAGCUACCCUGAUAGCCUCGUGGGAGGACCUUUCAAUAUUUAGAUUUCUCAUUGGAAUGGCAGAGCUACUGUACCUGGGGAAUUUCCUUCUUCACCUCCAAGGGGACCAUCAGAUGCCUGUCAUUUUCACAGCCUACAGGACUUAUUAUCUUCAACCACAUCUGAUAGUGUUUUCAGUUGUUUUUUCCCAAACACAGAAAAAGUGUGCAUUUCAUCAGCCAUGAGAAGAGUAGAUUAGUAGUUGGAAUUAAAGGACUCAUUUACCUAUUUGUUUCAAAGUGCAGUUGGAAACUUGAUUUUAUCGUGUUUUCUCUCUCUCUCUCUCUCUCUGUGUUAAAGGAAAUUUAAGAUUUUUUUUCCAAUCAGCCAAACGAAAUCAUUUCUGUGAGUCCAUGACUAUCAUUCCAUCUUUAGCAAAAAAUAUUUUAUUAUUCUUUAAAACUGUCCUGUUUGGUCAAGUCAGGAUUCCAAAUGGGUUUCUGCUGCUUGAUAUGCCUGCUAGUUAUGAUGUUUUCAUAAAGGAAAAGACAAAGGAAAUUGAUGAUUGAGUCACAGGAGCUUUGGGGAGAAAUUCAUAAAACUGUUGGGUGGUAGACUGGAUACAUCAUGCCAUACAAACCCCAAGCCAUGAUUCUUGUUCAUAAAGUCAUUGUAAAAAAUGAGUCUGCAGAUGAAGUUUUCCAUGGGUAGGGAGAGGAAGGAAGCACUUUUCUACCUAAGUCCAAGUUAAUUACCAUUUGUCAUUUGGUCCAAACUCCUACUCCACUUGACUAUGACCUAAAAAUUCAUCCAGAUCAUAAUUUGGCCUUAAAUUGAAACUGAAAAUGGACUACUGUUGGGAAGCAGCAUGGCUUAGUGGAAAUAGCCAAGGUCUGGGAAUCAGAGGACCUGACUUUUCCUCUUGGCUCUGACACUUGUCUGCUUUGUGGGCUCGGGCAAGUCACUUAACUUCUCUGUGCUUGAGUUAUCUAUAAAAUGGGGAUUAAAUCUUAUGUAUACAGUGAGUCCCAUUUGGGACAAGGGCUGUGUCCAACCUGAUUAUCUUGUAUCAACCCCAGCACUUAGUACAGCGCUUGACAUAUAGUAAGUGUUUAACAGUUUCCAUUAAAAAAUAGGCAGGAAUGAGUGAGGUGGGGUGGUGCUGGGAAGGAAGGAAACAUAUCUAUUCUUAUUCAAUUUUCAUGGGUAGGAACUUCUCCAACCAAACUUUGAAAUCCUCACAACACCUGGAAUAGUGGAUUGGCCUAUGUAGCUCUCACUCCACAGUAAUCACAGGAUUUUCACUCCUCCAAAAAGGGUCUUCCAGUAACAUUGGGUUUGCUUUUGAAAUUCAGGUCUUGCCAGUAGUUUGACCCAAAACCCAUCUGAAAUUCAGACAAGGCUAUGUAUGCUUAACGUUUAUACCGCACUCUUUUUUCCUUCCCUCCUGGGCUUCAGACCUCUAGCACUGUCAGACUGCCACCCCAUUCCCCUCUUCCACACCUGCUGGCCUCACCACACUCGCAGGUCACUGAUGCUGGUUUAAGCACAUUCUUGCAUUACUUGCAGAUGCAGUAAGAACUAGCAUUCCUGAUUCACUGCUUCUUCUGCAACUGCAAAAAAAUAGGGUCAUUUUAAUAUAUUUAAUUGAUAGUUGAAUGGUGUUUUCAUUGUGAUUAUUUCUGUCCGAAUAAUACCCUUCAUUCAGACAGCUCUUUUUCUCAAUUAAUGGUAUUUGUUGACUACUGUACCUUACUGUGUGCAGAGCACUGUACCAAGAGCCUGGGAGAGUAUGAUCCCCCAUGGUGGACAUGUUCUCUGCCCACAAUGAUCUUACUGAAAGAGCUUUCAAGCUCCUCGAAUUUAUCCUCUCUAGCAGGAAGGGAAAAUAUAUUACUUCCCUCUUUCAGAUGGGAGAAACUGUGGUGUAUUUGUCUUCAUGAUUGACAAGUAUUUUUUUUAGCCAACCUCCUCUCUGCCAAACCCAAACUGACCCAAUAAGUGAGUUACUUCAACUCCCUAAUUUUGGGGGAUCAUAGUUGUGUCUUUCAAUUAAUCAAUCAACCAAUGAUACUUAUUGAGCACUUAUUGUGUGCAGAGCACUACUAAGCAUCUGGGAGAAUAUAAUGCAACAGAAUUGGUAGACACGUUCACUGCCCACCGAGUUUACAGACUGUUCAUUAGGCCAGAUUCCCUCAGUCUUAUGAGAAGAUGCCUAAAUGUUUCUGCCUUUACCAGAGGAUUCCCAAAACCAAUGUUGAGUUAUGGUAUGGCACAAAUUCUCCAAAUGUCUUAUGUCAUAAUACACGGCCCGUUUUCCGUGAAUAUCAAAGCUGAUUCUUCAGCAGAUCUGCUUCUCAGUUAUAUUUAGACCAAAUUAAAAUGUUAUAUUCACAAUGCUUUGCAUAAAUCUAUCUCAAGGAGCUUCUGAAGGAAACGUGUGGGACUUCUUUCUGGGAAAAUAGCUGCCUCUGAAGAAGUAAUAAAAUUUUAAGAAUUAUUUGGCUGAAUCGUUUUCUCAAAGGUGUCUUUCUUGGACUGAUGCUAAAAUGAUGGUGAAGUUCAACUCAUCUAGGAGCUACUUUCUGUCAUCAGAUAUCAUUGGUUGUCUCUCAAAGACCCAACAGAAAAUACCUGCUUUUGAAGGCUUUGACUACACUCAAAAUAGAAGCGAAUCCUGGAGGAUUUACUCUUGUCAGUUAAAAUUAGUUUUUGAAGACCACAAACCUAACAAUUCAAAAGAAAAAAAAUAGUCCCCAGAACACUAGCAGAAAAAGACUCCAGAAGAUUCCAACUCAGGUUAGUUGAACCAAAUUCAGGAGUUCAGGGCCAUGACAGAAGGAAGGUUAAUUCUCUUCUGCUUUACCCUUUCCUAGCCCGUGACACUUAAGUGCAUGCCUUCUGUAUUUUCGUUUGAGAUGUUUACUUUUUCUCCACCAUUACCCUCACCCAGCAAAACCCCUGAAAAUUAUAUUGGUAAUAUUCUUUCCAAUUAAUAGUUGGAAAAACUGGGUCAGGAAGAGUGAUAUAUAUUAUUAUUAUCUAUCGUGUCUAUAAAAUAUGCAUAUAUAUAUAUUAAAUCAUCUUCCUGCUAUAUAUAUAUAUGCACAUAUAUACAGUUAGGUUGUUGCAGUAGCAUUGGUAUUUACUCGUGCAAGGUAUUUUUUAUAAUUUUACAUAUUACUUAUUUAGUAAUACUGACAUGCUGAACAGUUAUUGGCUAAGAGGGUACAUGGAGA